GACGAACGCUGGCGGCGUGCCUAAUACAUGCAAGUCGAACGGAAAGGCCCUGCUUUUGUUGGGUGCUCGAGUGGCGAACGGGUGAGUAACACGCGAGUAACCUGCCCUUGUCUUUCGGAUAACUUCACGAAACUGGGGCUAUUACCGGAUAGGAGCUCCUGCAGCACGUUGGUGGAAGGAAAGUUUCGGUGGUUCGGGAUGGAAUUGAGGCUUAUCAGCUUGUUUGUGUGGUUGUGGCUUACAAAGGCUUUGACGGGUAGCCGGCCUGAGAGGGUGACCGGCCACAUUGGGCCUGAGAUACGGCCCAGACUGCUACGGGAGGCAGUAGUGGAGAAUAUUGCACAAUGGGCGGAAGUCUGAUGCAGCGACGCCGCGUGCGGGAUGACGUCCUUCGGGUUGUAAACCGCUUUCGCCUGUGACGAAGCGUGAGUGACGGUAAUGGGUAAAGAAGCACCGGCUAACUACGUG
rnacentral:rRNA from 1 species